rnacentral:rRNA from 1 species
GAAUCCGGGCUCCCCUUGACUCUUGUCGGUGUGUGUCGGAGGCAUUUCUUCCUCGCCCGAAGGACGCCGCAGCGGGCUGGGAUAUCAAACGACGGCCUGAGGGUUGGACGAUGGCAGGUGGCCGGCGGCGCGCCUCACGUGCGCUGUCGGUUUUUGGCCGGUCCUUCCAGUGGCACGUCUCCCGGUCGUGGUGUGCGCUAGUCCCUUGUGGACUCUUCCGUCUCCUCCUAGUGAAGCAGGAUGGGCACUGAAGAAGGAAGCCGUUGCAUGGACGCACCGGACAAUCGGUGGUCAGGACAACGGCCCCUUCGUUGGCGGUGUGAGGCCUGUUGGAGGUUGUCGGCUAGCGGCGAGUAGGUCGGUCACCCACCCGACCCGUCUUGAAACACGGACCAAGGAGUCUAACAUGUGCGCGAGUCAAUGGGUCUUGAACAGGCCCAUAGGCGCAAUGAAAGCAAAGGCCGACCUUGCGUUGGCUGAGCCGUGAUCCCCUGUAACGGGGGCGCAACGGCGGCCCGUCCUAUCCGGCACGUCCGGUGGGGCGGAGCGUGAGCGUACACGUUGGGACCCGAAAGAUGGUGAACUAUGCCCGGGC